CUAGAUGAAUGUGGUAGAUGCA
rnacentral:siRNA from 1 species